rnacentral:rRNA from 1 species
AUUGAACGCUGGCGGCAGGCCUAACACAUGCAAGUCGAGCGAGCGGCGGACGGGUGAGUAAUGUAUGGGGAUCUGCCUGAUGGAGGGGGAUAACUACUGGAAACGGUAGCUAAUACCGCAUACCAUCAUAUGAACCCAUAUGGGAUUAGCUUGUAGGUGGGGUAACGGCUCACCUAGGCGACGACCCCUAGCUGGUCUGAGAGGAUGAUGAGCCAGACUGGUACUGAGACACGGCCCAGACGCCUAGGGGAGGCAGCAGUGGGUAAGAUUGGACAAUGGCGGAAAGCCUGAUGCAGCCAUGCGGCGUGUAUGAAGAAGGCCUUCGGGUUUUAAAGUUUUUUCGGUAGCGAGGCGUUAACUACCGAAGAAGCACCGGCUAACUCCGUGCCAGCAGCCGCGGUAAUAC